CGCAAGUUGCGCCCGAAGCCAUUAGGUCGAGGGCACGCCUGCCUGGGCGUCACGCAUCGCGUCACCCCUUCCAACCCCUUUCCUUGGAGAGCGUGGGUGGAUAUGAGGGGAUGGACAUUGGCCUCCCGUGCUCUUUCUGUGCGGCCGGCUUAAAUUUGAU
rnacentral:rRNA from 1 species